GUGCCCAUGUGCCAGCCCUUGCUGGGGAUACUGCAUUGCUACAUGCCAAUGGCUGUGGUGAGUGAGGGCUGCAAGCAGGUCAUUUAUUUACAGGUGCAGUCCAGAGGGAACAGCCUGAGAGGAAUGUAAGUGCAACUGUAUUGGUGUUUGUGCUGGACUUGUCUUUUACCUUUCCUUAUCCUUUAAUUACACCUCCUUUCCAUUUCAACCCUUCUCCCUUUCCAUAUUAUGUCCCUCCCAUUGGUCUGUUCUUUCCUUAUAUCCCCACCCAGGCUGAGCACCUCCCAGACAUGUUCCUUUCUGCCUGACCGGACUGGUUGGGCCACUGCAUGUGGUGACAUGAUCCAGAGAUCAGCGCCACCUGCUGAACUUGCAACUUAUUCCUGGCCUAAUCCUAAGGAGGAAAAUACAUACAGAAUCUAUCAGCACAGAUCAUUCAGCCUUCAGCAUCCUCUCUUCCAUACUCUACAGAUCAUUGUCUUUCCCACAGAAUUCUGGUGGUGGGCAACUGCAAAAUAUUGUGGUGGAUUUUGUCAGCGACGUGCAUUCUGAUCUAAAGCACCCACAUAAGCACAUAGCACCCAACUGGCAGGACCGAGCAGCGUGAAACACAUGGAAGAAGACAAACAGCAGAUAAUGUGAUGUGGAUAUGGAAUGGCUGAUCCACUGAAGAUAUUGUUACACACUGCCCGGCUGGGUAACGUGGGACUUUGGGACCGAGAGAGACUUUCCUGUCAAGUCCUUUUAAAGGAA